GCGGGGCAUGAAGACUAAGGGGGAGGAAAAAGGGAGGAGCGAUGGGAGGGACAUGGAGUCCCACCCAUCCGCCGCGGCGGUUGGCUGAGAGAGAGUCGUGACGUCACAGGGCCCCUCGAAGUGGAUUGGUGAGUGGCUAGAUUGGUGUUCACAGGCUGGGGUGUAGAAAAAAAUUGGUGACGCCAUACCAAGACCCCGCCCCCUUCUUUGGAGGGGAGAGACUUCUACUGCGGAAGCUCGGGCCAAUCAGGAGGAAGGCCCCGGGAUGGCUUGAUUUCUUAUGUGGUGCGUUGGACAGUGCAGCAGAGCUGGAGUCAAACAGAGCUAAGUGAUGGGGACGCGGCCGAGAGGGCCUCCUGGUCAGGAUUCCUCCCAGGUGCUGCGGAUGGAGGCGUGGGGUAGCCUUGGAACCCCAUAGACUAGUUUCGAAUCUCAGCUCUGCCAGUUAUUAGCCUGUGACUUUGAGUAAGUGUUUUUAACCAUCUUAAACUCUUUUCCUCUUAUGUAAAAUGGAAACACAGCCUAUAGUGCCACUUCAUGGAAUUAUAGUGAGAACUGAAAGAAAC
rnacentral:lncRNA from 1 species